AGAAUUUUUAGAAGACAUCAAAGGUUUCAAGAACUAAUUGAACUGAAAUUAGCUUGAAUCUUUUGGCUUGGAUGUUCUGGCUCAUGCUUCCUCCCUGUGAUGAGAUUCUAUUUCCAGUUACAUCUGUCUGCAGCCCUUUCCUUUGAAGGAUGUCACGGAUUUGAAGAACGAGGUGUGUCAACCUACAGGUCUUCCAGAAAACCUUGAGGCUUCAGCACUGCAGAUGGCUACAGCCAGAACCCAUUCUGCAGUUUGGAAACUGAGAUACCUCAGGACAUCUCAAGCCUUGGAUAGACUCUCUGCUGGAACACUUCCUGUUUCUCACCACCUAGCUUUUCACUAGUAAAUGGCAGAAUGAUUCAUCCUCGGGGAUGUGGGGAAAGGACGUAGGGGAUUCCGCAUAGAGAUGCUGCGUUAGCCAUAACUUCAGUGUGGUUGUGACCAAUGGAAAUAUAUACUGCUCUGCACGGAUCGCUGUUUUGGAGACCAGCCCGAACUCAUGCGGCUGGAUGUUAAGGUGCCUUAUAGGAACGCAAGCCCAGGAAGGGCACUCCCUGGAAUGUUUCUGACAGCUUCCAGAAAUAGAGAGCAAGUCUGACGAGCUUGGAUCGAAAAGUGCAAAAUUCCAUGCACAGAAGCUCACACCUCUUGGUAGAGGCAUGGGAAGCUUACGUUCGUAGCUGUUUCAGCUCGCACUGAUGUCAACGGGAAGCCCUUUGCUCGAGUCCUUCAUCAGCAACGUUCUGAGCCUGGAGAGGAGCGGGAUUUAAGGGAUUUAGGGAGAAGGUGACACCUUUCGCCCUGUUUAGUAGCAGGUUGAUCUGCAGCAGUUUCCCUGCUGAAGGCGUUACGACCCGUCAGCAGAGGUAAUGGUGCAAGCGGUCCAGUGCUGGCAUCUGCAGCUCCUGCCUCUUCACAGGCUGAGCAGCAACCGCUCGAAUGGUGAAAUACAUUAGGAAAAACAACGUUUAUUUAUUUAUUUUUUUUGGAAGACAGCAAAGUAUGGCGGCAGCACCGCUGGGGCACUGGAGGCGGGCCAGCUACACAUAUUUGGUGAGAGAAGAAAACCAACCAUUCGUCUUGAAGAGGAUGUAAACACGGGGCUUUAACUGUCUGUCUUAGCCUCUCCUGCAACAGAAAGGAAGCCUUGUAUGUUGGACUGUUCUGCUCCACUGUUAAAAGCUACUGUAAUUCAGGCUGUGUUGAAAAGGAGCAAUUUAGGGAUAGAUUAUUUUUUUUUUCUUUUACUGUAUUUUUCCAGAAGAUUACUUUCACAUAGGUCCCUUCUGACUCACGAGGGGAGAAAUC